GAAAGCCAUUGCUAACCUUAAUAAGAAAGUCAUUGAUUAGUUUAGUAAAAACAGUUUUAGAAGAGUGAUGGGGUAAAACACUGAAUGGAGUGGAUUCAACAGACAACAGAGAGAAAUUGAUGAUAGCAAGGCUGAGAUUUUGGGGCUGCCUCCUACGUAAGCCAACAAGGGCACACUGCAUAAGCUGAUGAGCAAUAAGUCCAGCACAUCCUGGGUAUCCUCGCACAAUCAUCCUUGAGCUAAGACCAGCCUCAUCAUCUGCUGAUCAGAUCUUAGCAUCUUCCGCACAGGUCGUGUCACCCUUCAAACAUAAGCUUUUCAUGAAUGAAGUCAGGAAGGGUCACUUAUAUAGAAGAAUUAUUUCCUACAUGGGUCCUCUCAGAUGCGUAAAGACAAAGACCUAGAGACAGCAGCUCGACGGAGAGGCGUGGUAUACAUGAACCUCGAGGGGUCUGUGUGGAUGAAUCGACUGGUACCACUGCGAGGAUAGCCAGCACCCAGGGAGGGAGCAUCUCCCGCCUGAAGUCGCGGACAUGCCUGGCCCAACCUCCAGGUCAUGGGGGUGGGUCGACUUGUCAAGUUGGGUAUGGUCCUUCCAUUAACUUCUGUUGUCACAGUGCUGUCAAAUGUUGUCUCCAGGGUGCUGUCAAAUAAAAUGGAGAAAUAACUAUACUCUGGUUCACUUAGGGCCAUAAUCUAGAAUGCAUGAAGACAGAAAAGGCUGGAGUUGAGGGUCAUCUCUUAUAAACACGUCAUCUUCCCGAAAGCUAAACUCUAUAUUCAUUUUGAGGUCAAAUUGUGGAAAGGGGCAUACAUUUUAUAGCUUUUCGUUUGUUUUCAAAAGAAAGGCCAUCAGUACACCUUGGGUAAAACAACAUAUUGUUUUACAUUUUCAACAAAUCCUUAACUCACUGUAACCUUCCCAGACCUAUUCUGAAAGUUAACUACAAUUAUGUUUGAAUGUCUCCCUACUACCCUGCCCAGAUGCAUUUCAAGUGCAACUUGUGCCACUGUUUUCUAGGACAGGUAUUACAAAUCCACUUAACAGUGAUGGUGGUAGUUGCAGUACUGGAAAUUAUACUGAAAAAGACAUAAAUAGCAGAUAGAGAUAGAGAUAAAAGAUAAAUAGGUAUAUACUGUGAAUUCUCAGUUUAAGGAUAAUUACCAAUCAAUUUGAUAUAAAACAAGGGAGAAAAUAGUAAGGGGAAACUGAAAUCCCAUCUCUGUCAUUAUAAGAAAAGUUAAAUGUUUGUUUGUAAUUAUUUUUUCUUUAUUGGCUCAAAUAUAUGCAAAAUUGAAAAAAACCUGUGGCUUAUCUGAGUCCCACGAAGACUGGACAUAGUCUCUUCUAAAUUCUGCCUCAAGUCUGCUAUGUUUUUAACUGUUCUCAUUCUUCUUGUUUCAGGGUCUUCACCUAGGAAAGCAAUAUGAUAAAUUUGCUAUUCAUGACAUUUAGUAUCCUCAAAAUAAUUGUAUACCUAGAUAAUUAAGUCACC
rnacentral:lncRNA from 10 species